UCAGCUCCAUGGCCUUCUAGAGUGAGGCCUUUGUGCCUCCCUGGACGUCACAGCUGCUGAGAUGGUGGCAUCCAGCCCGCUGUGGGACCUAGGGGACUACCACUGCCCUCUGUGCCCUCUGUCCCUCUGUCCCCUUGGCUUGGUACACGCUGUCUCACUUGGGUCUCUGUAGGACACGGUCCUGGGCACCUGUGCCCCAGAGGUGCCUGCUGCAGCCUCACAGCCCACCUUCCUGCCCUGGGUCCCUGAGCGUGGGGGUGGCGAGUUGGAGCUGGUAGUGCGGGAGCUGCAGGCACUGGAGGAGGAGCUGCGGGAGGCUGUGGAGCGCAGGCGGGCAGCCUGGGAGGCCAAGGCUGGAGGCUGUGGACGGGGGCCAGAGUGGAGUGCUGCGCGGCGGGCCUCUCGGGAGGCUGUGGAAAAGGAGCUGGGAGCUCUACAGCAGUGCUGGAAGCAAGACAGUGGCCCGGCCCGGCCCCAUGGGCCACACCGGCUGGUGAGACGAGAGGAUGGGGCAGCAGGGGAACGGGACCUGCGGGCAGCUGAGGUGAUCAGGACGCUGAGGAGCCAGGAGGCCUGCCUGGAGGCAGUGCUACGUCGACUACAGGGACAGUGUCGGCAGGAACUGGCCAGGCUGGUGGGAGCCCUGCCUGGCCUCAUCUGGAUCCCGCCUCCUGGACGCUGAGGGCCCUCGUGUGGGAAGCCUGCCCUGGCCCAGCCUGGCUGGGUCUUAGAGGAGCAGAUUCCAAGGCCAGGUGGCCGCAGGGACGAUGCAGAUGCAGAGCCCACGUCACAUGCUCGCUCCAGGGGUGGGGCUGGGCUGACUCUGGCUGGAGCCCAGGCCUGUGGCCAGCAGCACUGGGGACAGGAAUGGCCGGUCCCUUGAGGAGGUCGUGACAGGCUCAGCCUGGUGGUGUGGAGGGGACUCGGAAAUAAAUUGUAGCGGCUUUCCUGCC
rnacentral:sRNA from 1 species